rnacentral:rRNA from 1 species
UACGUAGGGGGCGAGCGUUGUCCGGAUUUAUUGGGCGUAAAGAGCUCGUAGGCGGUUUGGUAAGUCGGGUGUGAAAUCUCCACGCUCAACGUGGAGGGGCCACUCGAUACUGCCAUGACUCGAGUCCGGUAGAGGAGUGUGGAAUUCCCGGUGUAGCGGUGAAGUGCGCAGAUAUCGGGAGGAACACCCGUAGCGAAGGCGGCACUCUGGGCCGGAACUGACGCUGAGGAGCGAAAGCGUGGGGAGCGAUCCGG